rnacentral:rRNA from 1 species
CCGAUGAGGUGGAAACGGACAGAGCUGGCGUAUCUGGCCUGCAUUCAACCGCUGCGCGUCGGGCCCCGGUUUGCCGCACUCCAGAUUGGGAAGGUGGCUGGGCUGCUGGCGUGCUUGUGGUGCAUUUGCAGGUGGAGUGCGCUGAGGCGCUCGGCUCAGCGGCAUGAGCUCGGCCUUGAGGCCAACCGUGCAAGCGGUCUGGUACCCGGGUCGGGGGAGUGUUGUUUGGGCUGAGUGUUCGCUUGGGCACUGGUUUCGGGCCCGGGUGGGUGCCGAGCUGGCGGUCGACGUCGGUCGCAUGCGACACGUGUCAGCAAUCAGUUCGGUCCUGCUCGAGCUCUCGCGUGUCCGGCCUCGGUGUAAAAGCCGGUCAUCUGUCCGACCCGUCUUGAAACACGGACCAAGGAGUUUAGCGUGUGCGCGAGUCAUUGGGCGUUGAAAACCCAAAGGCGCAAUGAAAGUGAAGGUCUGCCUUGUGCAGCUGAUGUGUGAUCCUGGGUGCUGCGGUGCCCGGGCGCAACAUAGUCCCGUCCCUACUGCAUGCAGUGGGGCGGAGACAGAGCGUACGCGCUGAG